GGUAUCUUUCUUCAACAUUGAGAAACCAGAAACAGCUGUUUCUGACUGCCAAGGUUGGCAUAGGUUUAUCCAAGGAUGCAAAGUCAGAAAACUAGCGUUGCAACAUUGGUUGAAGCUAUUGACCCACGGCAUUGCUAUGGCUACGACCUACACUUCUUCUAUGAUUCUUGGAUCCAAAACGAGAGCAGUCAGCCAUUUUUGUACUGGUAGAGAUCUCUUUUAAAGCUUUGUCCCGAAAAAGCUUUACUUCCUUUCUGUUUCUCUUUAUAAAUUUUGAAAUUUGGAUGCUGGAGACGGCAAAGAAGUAAACUAUGAAGAAUUCCCAAGGAACAAUUUGCAAUGUUAUUGCAUCAAAUACAUUGGACCAAGCGUCACGGUCAUUGUACAUAGGGUAGAAGAUGAAAGUGUUGGGCAGUCUUCGUAGUGGCCACAUAUGCAUGUAUAGUGGGAAUUCAGGCUGUUAUAUCUGCUACUUUCUCCGUGGUUAGCCGGUGCUGUGCACUAAGGGACGUGAACUUGAUCGGCCACGCUUAUGGUACGCCCUGAAUCUGUUUCUUGAGGAAUCACUGCAGAUAAUGAGAGCCAAGUAAUCUGGAGUGGCUUAUAUCAUCAUCAUCAUCAUCAUUUUUCAAGAGAUUUUCAAUCAAUUUUGUUUCCUAUAGCAAGAAUUGCAGGGGACCGAAUGUGCCUUAUACAUCACUACUUGAAGUUUGCGUGAUCUAUUACGUGUAAAAAUGCACUAGCUCAAUCUUACUCCAUCACAAGGUCACUGCUAUACAUUUUUCUCAUCAAAAAUUAGUUGACAGUUAAAAUGUCUUAGAAAUUUACUGCCUUUGGUUGAAUAACUCAACAUCUAAAAAGAAACUCUUGCUAGGAGUCAAAAAGGAUUCCAGUGUUAUCUAAUUUUCUUCCCCAUGUGAUAAAAGUGAAGGGAAGAAAUUUUAGCACCGUAAACGUAAACAUCAAUUUUACACCUGAAAUGAACAAAAAAAACACCUGAGAUUUUAGAUUCCAUUCCAUCUUUUAUGGCUAGCAGCUGAGUUUCCUUUGUUUUAAAAGCACCUCCAAACCUCUUUGUAUCUCUCGCACUACCAGACUUACAGAUGAGAAAUUCCAUCCAUUUCUUCAAGAAAGAAAAUCAAGUGUGUUCCAUCCAGCUUUUCUCUACUCAUAAUCUUUGAUUCUCAAGAGAUUCUUUUCUUCUCCGAGUCUCCGUUGCUUCUCCCACACUCUCAAGACAUCAAGUUACUUCUACUCGAGCACUGACAAUUCUAGGGAAAAUCGGGAAUAUGUCCCAUUUUCACUAAUUCGUUUGGGGAUCUAUCCCAUAACGGAAAAAAUUAAUGAAUCUAUCCUAGAGAGAGAAAAAAACUGUCAAGUGGCUAGCAUCCCACAUGUGUGGGCUUACACAUGCGACAGAUUGACAUUUCUGCCCUCGAUCGUUGGAUGAGCGCCACGUAUGUUCUCAGCUAUGGAUACCCAUGGAGUUGUUUGUGUCUGCAGAGAUCCGGUGGAGCUGCUGGGAUCACAAGUCAAAACAAACGCAUCUCCCCAUCGUUUCCACUCAAACGACUGUGAACGACGAAAAGGCUCCAUACGAAGUGAAUUUCCAGGGAGCUGAUCACCAUCAGAUGUUGAAAUGAAGAGUGGAGAACCAAUAUUUGAAAUGAAGAGAUUCAACUUUUACCAAUCUCUUUAACUUCUCUUAGUGCAUGCUUCUGUUCUGUUAUUAAUUCUUCCCCGCAUGCUGUCACUACAACUUCCAAUGCUUAAUGGUGUAAAUACAGUUCAAUAAUGGAUGUAGAUUCUGCUGCUGCUACUGAUUGGACUUCACUUCAACGCCCUGCAUCUUCAUACGAUAUUGCUGCUGUUGGCACCGGUGCCGAUAUAUCUCUUGAACAAGAAACAGAAGAUGAUGAUCGCCUUAGAAGAAGAUGACGACUGCGAAGAAGAUCCAAUCAAGAAUGUGGACGAUGACUUGGAAGUAUUAGAAGUGCAAGUGAACGACCAACAAACUAUUUUCUCCGAUCCAUCAGAUGUCUAAGAAUUACCAACAACUGAUGAGGAGUCGACCGAGAGUGGCAGCGACCAGACUCCUGGUGAAAAACUAAGCAAAGAGGACUGGAUUGCUUCAUGGAACAAGGGAGAUCCUCGAAAGCAUUCGACUUGGAUUAAUGUAUAUUCUUAUUACAGAAAGAAGGAAAAAGGCUACGGAGGAUAUCGAGGGCAGAAAUGUCAAUCUGUCGCAUGUGUAAGCCCACACAUGUGGGAUGCUAGCCACUUGACAGUUUUUUUCUCUCUCUAGGAUAGAUUUCUUAAUUUUUUCCGUUAUGGGAUAGAUUCCCAAACAAAUUAGUGAAAGUGGGACAUAUUCCCAAU